rnacentral:rRNA from 1 species
UAAGGAAUAUUGGUCAAUGGGCGGAAGCCUGAACCAGCCAUGCCGCGUGCAGGAAGACGGCCCUACGGGUUGUAAACUGCUUUUGCAGGGGAAUAAACCUUCGUAUGUAUACGAAGCUGAAUGUACCUUGAGAAUAAGGAUCGGCUAACUCCGUGCCAGCAGCCGCGGUAAUACGGAGGAUCCAAGCGUUAUCCGGAUUUAUUGGGUUUAAAGGGUGCGUAGGCGGCCUAUUAAGUCAGGGGUGAAAGACGGUAGCUUAACUAUCGCAGUGCCUUUGAUACUGAUAGGCUUGAAUGUACUUGAGGUAGGCGGAAUGUGACAAGUAGCGGUGAAAUGCAUAGAUAUGUCACAGAACACCAAUUGCGAAGGCAGCUUACUAAAGUAUGAUUGACGCUGAGGCACGAAAGCGUGGGGAUCAAACA